UUCAUUAUAGACUAGCUGGUUAGGAUAUUCGGCUCUCACCCGAAAGACCUAGGUUCAAGUCCCAACAAUAAAA
rnacentral:tRNA from 1 species